rnacentral:lncRNA from 1 species
AUGAAGAAUCCGAGGAGGAGGCCCCACCCCCAAAGAAGGCUGAAGGUCACGGCUGCCAAGGAGGAGUCUGACGACGAUGAUGAUGAGGACUCUGAGGAAGAGGAGAUGGAUACCACCCCGGCACCCGCAGCAAAGAAAGCAGGCAUGGUCAAGGCUAAGGAGGAGUCUGACGAUGAUGGUAAGUGAUAUUUUGAUUAAGGUUUAUUACCCAUGUGGUGAAAGGGGUGUCUUGGUCUCCGGCAGUCAUCACAGCUGGGUAUUAUUGCCCCAUAUGCCACGUUCACAUGUUGGUCAGUACUCUGAAAUGUCCAACUUGCUAAUAUGUUGUAGGUAAACAUGUCACAUUCAACCAGUUAUCAAGUUGGACAUUUCAGUUUCCUAGUUGUGACUGGCAGGUGAACACGACAUUAGCCCCACCCUCCACCUUUUGGUGUUGGCACAUCUACGGGAGAACGGGCUUGGACUGAAAUGCAUCCGGGCUGUAGGUUCUUCCUGACACUGCGAGGAUUUCAAAGAUGGUCAGCUACAGAGCUGGUCUAUACAAAAGCUCCCCUCUCACCUCUGUUAUUUGAAGGUUUUGGGGUCCUAAGCAGGCUGUUUUGUUCCACAGAGGCCCCAGCGACUCCUGCAAAAGAGGAAGGCCGACAGCAAGAAAGCCAAGUCCGAAAGCGAUGGUAAGUUAUGGUUCAGCCCUUUCAACACCUGCUCCCACACUGAACCAUAAUACGCAUGAUGAACAAGGG